UGCUGGAACUCACCAUAUAGAUGCCUCGCUGCUUUUCAUUUCUAAGUUUCUCCUCCAUGUCUUUUUCCUCUUGCCAGUGUUUAGAUAAAAUUAUUUCUAUUUGAUACAUUUUUCUUCACUCUUGUCCUUAAUGGGUCAAGUCUUAUGUGGCUUCAUAGCCCUGAUAGACAGUAGUAUUGCUAUUUUGGAGUCAAGGUCUCGUUCUGUCGGCCAAGCUGGAGUGCAGUGGCACCAUCAGGGCUCACUGCAGCCUUGACCUCCGAGGCUCAAGGAAUCCUCCCACCUCAGCCUUCCGGAUAGUUGGUACUACAGAUGAUCCAGCUCUGUCGGAGGCACGUAGGCACAGCCAAAUCUCAUGCUGUACAUUGAUCACCUGUCCAACCUUUGCCUAGAGUGGGAGCCCCCAGUUCCUUCGAGAUCCAACAUUACCUGUCUGUAAAGAAGAAGAGGAGGAGGGAGACAGCGGGGAGGAUCCGGUGGCAGUUUAACACCAGAGCAGGUCCAAUGUUUACUUUUACCCUUUUGGAGGUGGGUAACGGCAAAUGCUGGGUGCUGGGUUUCAGAGAGACUCUGCAUAAUGAGCUUGGAUUUGGGGGCUCACAUGUACUUUACAUUUUGCUAGAGUGUAGGAGUUGCUAUUUUUGUAUUUAAUUCACAGCCAGACUGUUCCAUGAUUCCCACCA
rnacentral:sRNA from 1 species